rnacentral:lncRNA from 1 species
CUUCCCGAAUCAGUCUCGUGGUGUGGUUGGCAAGUUUAAUACAACAACAUUUUUUCAAAAAAUAUCGAAUACUCUUUCCGUUUUGGGUUGUCGUUUCAAAGUAAGUUAUCCUGAAAUGUUAUAUGUUUAUAUUUAUCUUGAAUUGCUAUAGGUUUUACAGUAAUAUAUAUCGACUGUAUUUACAUAUACAACAUUUCUGUCUACAGUAUUAAAUAUGAAGCAGUUAAUAUAUACAUCGACUGUACUUACAUUUACAACAUUUCUAUCCCUUCUAGGUGUAUAUUUUGGUGUGUGUUCGCGGGGAUCUUUUGGUCAAAUCAAAUCAAAGGGGACCGUUCAUUUUAUAUGUUUCAAAAGCAGUGAAGUGUGAGCUCGCUGUACUUGUAUUACCAAACUUGCUACUGCGAAGUGUGAUCUCGCUAUAAUAUUUAUACUAGCGAAGUGUGAACUCGCUAUAUUUUUAUAUUUUAUACUAGCGAAGUGUGAUCUCGCUAGCUGGGCAGUCGUUGGCAAUAAUAAAGUUGUUUCGUGUUGUCAAAAGAUCAAGGUAUUGGUAUCAAAAGUUACAAAUAUAUAGGUUGUGUGUCAAUAAGAAAAUUGCCAAUAGAAAUAGUUAAUAUAUAUUACAGUAAAAUGAUUAUGAUAUACAGUAAAGCCCCGCAUAAAAGUUCAGUGAAUUUUGACUUGCUUCACACAAUAUUUUUUUAUAUUCUACAUAUUAAAUAGGAACUGUUGUUGCAUAAAACUAUUGCUAUGACACUAAUAUGGUUGUUGUGACAUAUAUCCAAACUUAAAAAGUUUUUAAAAACUUGUAUUUUGGGUGCUUAAUUGCCAAAAUUUCAGACUAGUGGUUCUUAACCUACUGAUGGGGCUUUACUGUAUAUCAAAUAACUUAUGCAUAAUGAAGUCUCAAGGCUUGAUGCCUGCGAGAAAUACUGGUCUUAAUAGUCAUGACCUGGGACAAUUUCGAUAGUGGCCAUUUGCAAUUGUUUCAUUUUCCUGGGCGAUGACUACUAUUAAAUCGAGCAGUAUGAUGCCCACAUUGGAACACACAAUUGUAUAUAAUAAUGCUCACAAUUUCUUUCUUAUUAUAUAUAUAGUCAUUACAAAUAAUGGUCAUCUGAAGCUGAUGUAUUAAACAAAAAUGUCAACAAAAUAGAUUUUGUCUCCCGAUUGGCAGAUUCAUUGUUCAGUUGUUCUACAGUAGGGGUAGCCUUGAAGGUGCCACUAAAAUGAUACAGUAGUUGGGACAAAACUGACUUCAAAGGGCCUGUUCAUAUGGGCAAAAGUUAUCUCGGUUUAAGGCCCUGUUCACAUGAUCCCGGGAUAAACAACUGCCCCUGCGACAAGUCAUUGACCCAGGGUACUGAUAUCUUCUGUUCACAUGAAUAAAGCUAGCGCGCCGGGUCAUGCCUAUAAAUACAUUACGCGGGAAUCAUAAAAUAUUCCUGCCAACGGGAAAUGGUGAAAUAUUGCUAAAUAAAAAACAUUCUGAUAAAUGCAAGUCGUCGUUAUUUUUUGUUAUGAUAUUUACAAAUAGAACGUACUAGUUGAUUAUCAGCCGUAAUAAAAUGUGCUCAAUUCAUUGUUUCUGGUUGACCAGAUCAAAUUCUUUGAGUAACAUACUACAUGAUAUUAGCGACAAUUUUAUUUCAAUAUUUUUAGAAUCAUCACUUAUAGAUUUCUAAUGAUAUCGUCAAUCAAAUAACAAGUUUUUGUGGAGUCCAACGUGCUCUAAAUGUAAUUUUAGCCACGAUUUUGAUCAUUUCACCAAAAUUCAAUUAUCCCGGGACAGUGUUCACAUGAGGAAAAGUUGUCCCAGCAAGGCGAGUGUCCCUGUCUAUAGAAGUCAGGCACUCGGGUCAAUUCUUGUCCCAGGACAAGUAAAAUAUCAUGUGAACAGCACUAUUCUUUUACUGAGGAGCCAAGACAAUUUUUGUCCCGCGACAAUUGCUUGCCCCGAGACAUAACGCUGUCCCGGGUUCAUGUGAACAGGGCCUAAGGAGAAAACUUUUCGACUAGCCAAAUACUUUUGUUCUGUUCACAUGGAGAAACUUUACCUCGCUUACCGGGUAAAGUUUCCGGCUGUGACAUAGCGCUGAACAUGAAUUGAAUUGAAAAGUUGCUGACACAACAGAAAGUUAUCCCGCUAAGCGGGAAAGUUGUGUUCAUAUGGGAAAAACACCGAGGUCUCGGUACACGGAAAAAGUUGUUGUCUCAUAUGAACGCAAUGUAACUUUUCAUAUUAUUUUCAUACCAAGGUGAGAUCUCGCUUGAAACUUGUUGAAAAGUUUUCUCGCUAACACAGAUAACUUUUGCCCAUAUGAACAGGCCCUUACUGGUAGUAUUUUUAUGUAUGAAAUUUUAAUUAAAUUCUACAUAUCCAAUGAUUCAUUCAAGUAUUAUUGUUUGUU